UACGUAGGGUGCGAGCGUUAAUCGGAAUUACUGGGCGUAAAGCGUGCGCAGGCGGUUUUGUAAGCCAGGUGUGAAAUCCCCGGGCUCAACCUGGGAAUGGCAUUUGGGACUGCAAGGCUGGAGUGCGGCAGAGGAGACUGGAAUUCCUGGUGUAGCAGUGAAAUGCGCAGAUAUCAGGAGGAACACCGGUGGCGAAGGCGGAUCUCUGGGCCAUUACUGACGCUGAGGAGCGAAAGCGUGGGGAGCGAACAGG
rnacentral:rRNA from 1 species